rnacentral:rRNA from 2 species
AGUCGAACGAUGAACCAGGAGCUUGCUCUUGGGGAUUAGUGGCGAACGGGUGAGUAACACGUGAGUAACCUGCCCUUGACUCUGGGAUAACCUCCGGAAACGGAAGCUAAUACCGGAUACGAACUGCGAAGGCAUCUUCAGCAGUUGGAAAGAACUUCGGUCAAGGAUGGACUCGCGGCCUAUCAGGUAGUUGGUGAGGUAAAGGCUCACCAAGCCUACGACGGGUAGCCGGCCUGAGAGGGUGACCGGCCACACUGGGACUGAGACACGGCCCAGACUCCUACGGGAGGCAGCAGUGGGGAAUAUUGCACAAUGGGCGCAAGCCUGAUGCAGCAACGCCGCGUGAGGGAUGACGGCCUUCGGGUUGUAAACCUCUUUUAGUAGGGAAGAAGCGAAAGUGACGGUACCUGCAGAAAAAGCACCGGCUAACUACGUGCCAGCAGCCGCGGUAAUACGUAGGGUGCGAGCGUUGUCCGGAAUUAUUGGGCGUAAAGAGCUCGUAGGCGGUCUGUCGCGUCUGCUGUGAAAACCCGAGGCUCAACCUCGGGCCUGCAGUGGGUACGGGCAGACUAGAGUGCGGUAGGGGAGAAUGGAAUUCCUGGUGUAGCGGUGGAAUGCGCAGAUAUCAGGAGGAACACCGAUGGCGAAGGCAGUUCUCUGGGCCGUAACUGACGCUGAGGAGCGAAAGCGUGGGGAGCGAACAGGAUUAGAUACCCUGGUAGUCCACGCCGUAAACGUUGGGCGCUAGAUGUGGGGACCAUUCCACGGUUUCCGUGUCGCAGCUAACGCAUUAAGCGCCCCGCCUGGGGAGUACGGCCGCAAGGCUAAAACUCAAAGGAAUUGACGGGGGCCCGCACAAGCGGCGGAGCAUGCGGAUUAAUUCGAUGCAACGCGAAGAACCUUACCAAGGCUUGACAUAUACGAGAACGGGCUAGAAAUAGUCAACUCUUUGGACACUCGUAAACAGGUGGUGCAUGGUUGUCGUCAGCUCGUGUCGUGAGAUGUUGGGUUAAGUCCCGCAACGAGCGCAACCCUCGUUCUAUGUUGCCAGCACGUAAUGGUGGGAACUCAUAGGAGACUGCCGGGGUCAACUCGGAGGAAGGUGGGGAUGACGUCAAAUCAUCAUGCCCCUUAUGUCUUGGGCUUCACGCAUGCUACAAUGGCCGGUACAAAGGGCUGCAAUACCGCAAGGUGGAGCGAAUCCCAAAAAGCCGGUCUCAGUUCGGAUUGAGGUCUGCAACUCGACCUCAUGAAGUCGGAGUCGCUAGUAAUCGCAGAU